CGAGUCUGGGGGGGGGCGUGAACAAAGACAUAUCUGCCUUCCGUAUCAAUGACUAGUUCUUUUGCCUCCCAGCGUAGUUGUUUAUGUACUAACAGGGAUACCCCUCUUGAGGAAGAGGUGUGAUAAGAAUGUGCGGCCCACUGUACCC